UCCUAGCAUCUCCUAGUGUUUCCAAUAGAGUUGGAGAUGAAAUUUUUGUCUUUUUCCCUCUAAAUAAAAAAUUUAAGCAUUUUGUCAUUUUCAAGGAAAAUUAUUAAGUAUUUCUGGAAUGAAUAGUUAUUUCAUUUUCAAAGUAUGACCAAUAAUGGAUCUAGUUCUCGCUCUUAAAAAAUAAAAUAAAAUAUAAUAAUGAAUCCAAUUUUAGUAUUUUCAUCUCAACUUGAUUUAUUGGUGUUAUUCUAAUAACUUAAAUGACAAAAAUAGAUUUGGUGUUUAGCAUAGUAUAGUAUCAACCAUCAAUUACUAAUUGAAUUUAUUAAUGUCAGAGGGGCCUCUCAAAAAUCAUAAUUUUUAAAAAUUUUAUAAAUUAAAGCAAUGACGAAAAAGUAUGUUUGAUAAAUAUCUCAAAAAGAGUGAUUCCUCUACUCUUUUUGCUUUUUGUUCUUAAGGUUGCAAAUAAAAUACACAACAGAUUGCAGUAUUUUGGGCAUCAUAAGCAAAUUUUGAAUGUGCAAUUCUGGAGUCCUCUUACAAUAGUGUAUCUUUCCUAACUGUCAAUAGAAAAAUCUAUUGAAAUCUAUAGUUUGUUAUCUUGAAAAAAUAAAUAUAUUGUAGAAGCUAAGGUUUCUAACAAGUGGUCUUUUAUGAGUAAUUUAUAAAUUCACGUCAGAUUUUAGUGCACAAUAUAGGCAAAUUGAAAUUUUCUCGCAUAUUAAUAGCUUGAACAACUUGAUGAUUAGAGGUGAUUGGAUAGUUGUUGUAGCUGCAACCUGUUAUUCCACCAGCAUGGCACUAGACUAGAGAAGUUUUUAAUCCAAAAACUAGCAAAAAAUAUUAUCAAGACUACAAUAUAAUAUUAAUUCCUACAAUCCUGAUUUUUCUUUUUCUCUUGUUGAUUUUCCAUUAUAAAGCAUGUUCAAUUGUAAGCUAGACCAUGAGCAUUCAUAAUAAGUUGCUUAUUUCUUCUUUAAUUUAAACCAUUCAUAUUUUGUUUAAUUUGUUUUAUGUAUUUUAUUAAAUUCUAUUAUCAGUAUAUGUGUUAUUGUUUUAUCAAAUUGUGAGAAGAGUAGAGAAUAAUAUCCGUACAAUUUAAAAUUAGUCCAUUAGAGACCAAGCAAUGUUAAGAAUGGCUCUAAUAAGUAACAAGAGGAAAAGAAACAUGGAUACAAAUACGGAUAUGAAUAUGAUAUGAUAUAUGAUGUUGUAACUUUUGCACUUUAAAAUGAAGGGCUUUAAGUUCAAAGGACCCAGGUUGAAUGGCUACAUGCAGUGGCUUUCAUGUUUUCAUGGACCUUAUGGCAGCUUGAGUAAUUGACUUGGGCUUUAUAAAUGGGCCUUCACAUCACAGUUGCACUACCUCUUCAAUAAGCAAUUGAAGAGAUAGUUUGUUUACUGUUCUGACCCAUCUUUGGGGGAUAUAAAAACUGUUAAUUCUGCCAAGUGCCAGUUUGUUUGCUUCUUUAGAGCAGCGACUUCAUGCAUUCAUGCUGAAGGUUCAAACUCUAUCCAUAUUACUCCUACUGUGACCCUGCUUCUCACAUUGCAUAAUUAUAUUCUUUGACAGAAUGGAUGUAGCUUCCAAUUUAGAAUCACUUGGUCUUCAAAAAAAAAUUAGAAUCACUUGGCAGUCCUAUAAUCUUAGGAAAUUCAUAUUUUUGGAUAUAGGUUGAUGAUGUUGAUGGAUACCUCUUCCUUCUUGUUGAUGGUGCACAACGUGUCUUCCAUCUUCUUCUUCUUCCUCUAGAGGCAUGGCAAAUCGGCAAAGUGGACACCAUCGGCGAACACGGAGCCAAUUUUGGAUACACGCAGAAUGAAACUUAUGCUUACAUGGCAUCUCUCUGGCCUCACUACCGACCUCAAACUGUUCCAAACAAAUCGAGCAGUCUUGAGACUCCUCCGCCAUCACUGUCACACUUGGCAUGGACUACCACCGAGUUGUCAUGGUAGUCAGAUGGAGAGAGAGAGCUUUGGUAGUGGUUCUUAUCACUUCUUUUGUGAGAGGCAUUCAGCAAACAUUUUGGUUCAGGCAGAUACGUAGUAGAUAGGCACAACCUAAAUGCAGCACAUGGUCACUUGUGAAAUGUAGAAAAAAAGCAGCAAUCUAUGAGAGAGGUGUGAAAAUCAAGGAGGAUUCUACAACGUGCUUGGAUAUGUGCAAAUAUAUUUAAUUGAUUCUAUUUCUAUAUUCCAGAUGGCAAAACUUUGGUUUUGGUUGGACAAAGCAAAAGCGCCGGAAGUCAACAGUUAUCGGUUCUUCAAAGUGAUACAAUGAUCUUCAGCCAAGAACCCUUGUUCUUUUCAUCCACCAUCAAAUAUAAUAUUGCAUAUGGAAAGGUGGUGCAAGAAUUGAAGAAAUAAGAGAUGCACAAGAACUUGCCUAUGCUGGUCUUUUACUGAUACAUUGCUUGAGCUAAGUGGAAUCCAUGGGUGGUGAAGCACAAGACUUAUUUGUCUUGUGGACAGAAGCAAACUGCUUCCAUGGCAAGAGCAAUUUCUAAACACCAAUGGAUUUUAACUUUUAAAUGUAGCUGAAAGUGUAUUUGAUGCUGGUUUUGAGAAUAUAGCACAAGAGGCAUUGGACAUGAAUGUACGCAAACUAUUGUUCUAAUUGCUUAUCAUUUGAGCAUGAUCAAGAAGGCCAAAAUAAUUGAUGUCUUUCAUAGACAAUAGAUGUUUGAAAAAGUAAUGUUAAAACUAUAGUCAUAACAUACUCUCUUUAAUCACAUCUUGAGCCAUUUUCACGUGUGUCUCAAGCAGUAAUUUUAUUUUCUAUAAACUAUAGUCUUUGUUCACCGCAGGGGCAUAAUUUAUCUUUUGACCUAGUUAUAUGAAUUCUAAAUUUUACAUUUUAACAAAAAGAAACUAUAAUAAUGCAUAUAAUUACUUUUUUUAUAUUAUCUUUAUGAAUUAUUGGCCUAUGUCCUAGAUAGUGAAAGCAUUUAUUUUUUUCUCCCAAACUUUUAUAUGAAGUAACUCAAUUGACUAGAAGUUUAAAAAACAAUAUUAAUACUUUCAGUAUUACUGUUUGCCCUUGUCUGAAAACAUAGACCUAAGUAGCAAAAGACAAAGCUGUUGAUGCUUCCUUAUUAGCAAUGAUAGAUUCAAAGUUAAUGAAUCAUACAAGGGAAAAAUCAUGUAUGCUUUAGAUAUCCAUCUAGGCUAGAUAUUCAGGUGUUCUAAAGCCUUAGCUUUGCCAUUCAUUUUGGCAAAGGUUAAAUUUUAUUUUCAAAUUGUGUUUUACCACCCAUUUACUUCUAUACAGCAUUAGCAACAAAGCAGUACUAGUUUUUUUUUUUUUUUUUUAAUUGAUCAAGUGGUAAUUGGGAAAAAAAAACAGAUUAAUCAAGACAUUAUUGUAAUGUUGUCACUCUUUUCUUUCAAAAUGUCAUAAUUGUUGGAAAAAUUGGAAAUGGGCAAUGCAUAGUGACUGCAAUAUUGCAAAGAUUGUUUGAUCCUAAAUCAGGUCACCUGAUGGAAUUGAAAAUUGAAGGGUUAAAUUGAAGUGGAUGAGUUGAUAGAUUAGUCUUGUCAGUCAAAAAUCAAUUUUGUUCAAUGACUCAUCCAUGCCAACACUGCAUAAAAGAAAGAAGAAAAUGAGAACGAGGUGGAAAGCAAAGCUACAUUAAAGUUACAAAUGCACAAAGGUUUGUGAGUG